rnacentral:rRNA from 1 species
CAGUCGCCGCGGGAAUACGGAAGGUCCAGGCGUUAUCCGGAUUUAUUGGGUUUAAAGGGAGUGUAGGCGGUCUGUUAAGCGUGUUGUGAAAUUUAGGUGCUCAACAUCUAACUUGCAGCGCGAACUGGCGGACUUGAGUGCACGCAACGUAUGCGGAAUUCAUGGUGUAGCGGUGAAAUGCUUAGAUAUCAUGACGAACUCCGAUUGCGAAGGCAGCGUACGGGAGUGUUACUGACGCUUAAGCUCGAAGGUGCGGGUAUCAAACAGGAUUAGAUACCCCGGUAGUCCCUGUCUCUUAUAC